AGCAUGAAGCAAGAUAUUCAAGAAUUGAUCAAAACUCCAAAGUGUGAGGAAAACACCACUUUCUCUUUAGCAUCCUCACUCCUGACCACAAAAAGGGAUAUUUGUCCACAGUCUCCAUCCGUAGUGUCUCAGCACUGUACUUCAAGAACAACAGCAAGCACUCCAUUCCUCCACAGAUAAUAGCAAAUGGCGGCCCCUCCUGUCCUACUCGCAGAACAGCAAGCAUCAUCCCCUCCUGCCUUUCCCCUAUAUCCACAGACACUCAUAAUGUAAGUUGCCAGACAGUAGAGUCCUCCCUUGUCCCCUGUGAUGCCUGUGCUCAGGUCCAGUCCAGCCUGAGGGAGACUGGUGAUGCUCUUGUGGAGCUGUGUCGGAGCGAGGGCCUUCCCACCUCUGCAGCGCCUCCUGGUGGCUGCGGAUGACACUAUGUAGCAGGGCCGUCUGACUGUAGGAGAUGUGUCUCAGUGGUCCACAGAGCAGCACAGGGACAUGGGUCAGGUGGGAAAGCAUCUGCUGAAGGUGCAGUCCACAGUGCAGGGCUCAGCUGGGGGAGGGAACAGGAGGAACUAAAGCGUGAAUGGGCAAAGGAUCAAGCAAGCCUCUCCCAGGCAUCCAGGAAGGAGACAGAGAGGAGACUGCAGGACGAACAUGAGGAGCUGAGGUGAGGCUCCAUGUCCCUGGAGGAUAGCAACUCCAAACUGAAGGCAGAGAUUAGUUUGCAACAAGAAAGGUUACACAAACUCGAGUGUGAGAGAGAUAAGCUACAUCAGGAAGUGAAGGCCUUGCAGGUAGAGGAAGAGGCACGGAAUAAACAAGAGGAGAAGACACAAACACUGGAGGCUCAACUGUCCAGUACUCAGCUCUUACUUGACAAAGAGAACUCCAAGUACCAGAAUGCAUGUCACCAACAGGAGUCACUGCAGGCCAAGCAGAUGUCUCUAUUGGAGAGAGUGGAUGCUCUGGACCAGGAGUGUGAGGAGCUUCAAGGACAAUUGGGGGAGACUGAGGACACACAGACAGACCUACAGGAUAGACUGACACACAUCUCAGAGGAGAAGGACCAACUUAAAACCCAGCUCACCCAAGAACAGGUACAUUACUACCAGACAGAUGUGACUCAACACAAUAUUAAGCACAAUGAAAUGUUUCACGUCAUAGUUAAUUUUAUAGUGCUGCUUGCAUACGUUGGGCAGAGCCAUACUUCAGCAUAG
rnacentral:lncRNA from 1 species